rnacentral:rRNA from 1 species
UGAGGAAUAUUGGUCAAUGGGCGCGAGCCUGAACCAGCCAAGUCGCGUGAGGGAGGACGGCCCUACGGGUUGUAAACCUCUUUUUGCCGGGGAGCAACGGGCGUCACGUGUGGCGCCACUGAGAGUACCCGGAAGAAAAAGCAUCGGCUAACUCCGUGCC